rnacentral:rRNA from 1 species
UACGAACUGUGCGAACGUUAUUCGGAAUCACUGGGCUUACAGGGUGCGUAGGCGGCUUUCCAAGUCAGGUGUGAAAUCCCCCGGCUCAACCGGGGAACUGCGCUUGAAACUGGAUCGCUAGAGGAAGCUAGAGGUAUACGGAACUUCCGGUGGAGCGGUGAAAUGUGUUGAGAUCGGAAGGAACACCAGAGGCGAAGGCGGUAUACUGGGGCUUAUCUGACGCUGAGGCACGAAAGCCAGGGGAG